rnacentral:rRNA from 1 species
AGUCGAACGAACACUUUUACAGAUUUCUUCGGAAUGAAGUUUUAGCGACUGAGUGGCGGACGGGUGAGUAACGCGUGGGUAACCUGCCUCACACAGGGGGAUAACAGUUGGAAACGGCUGCUAAUACCGCAUAAGCGCACAGUACCGCAUGGUACAGUGUGAAAAACUCCGGUGGUGUGAGAUGGACCCGCGUCUGAUUAGCUAGUUGGCAGGGCAACGGCCUACCAAGGCGACGAUCAGUAGCCGACCUGAGAGGGUGACCGGCCACAUUGGGACUGAGACACGGCCCAAACUCCUACGGGAGGCAGCAGUGGGGAAUAUUGCACAAUGGGGGAAACCCUGAUGCAGCGACGCCGCGUGAGCGAAGAAGUAUUUCGGUAUGUAAAGCUCUAUCAGCAGGGAAGAAGAAAUGACGGUACCUGACUAAGAAGCACCGGCUAAAUACGUGCCAGCAGCCGCGGUAAUACGUAUGGUGCAAGCGUUAUCCGGAUUUACUGGGUGUAAAGGGAGCGCAGGCGGAAGGCUAAGUCUGAUGUGAAAGCCCGGGGCUCAACCACGGUACUGCAUUGGAAACUGGUCAUCUAGAGUGUCGGAGGGGUAAGUGGAAUUCCUAGUGUAGCGGUGAAAUGC